AGAAGGGAGCUUGCUCCCGGAUGUUAGCGGCGGACGGGUGAGUAACACGUGGGUAACCUGCCUGUAAGACUGGGAUAACUCCGGGAAACCGGAGCUAAUACCGGAUAGUUCCUUGAACCGCAUGGUUCAAGGAUGAAAGACGGUUUCGGCUGUCACUUACAGAUGGACCCGCGGCGCAUUAGCUAGUUGGUGGGGUAAUGGCUCACCAAGGCGACGAUGCGUAGCCGACCUGAGAGGGUGAUCGGCCACACUGGGACUGAGACACGGCCCAGACUCCUACGGGAGGCAGCAGUAGGGAAUCUUCCGCAAUGGACGAAAGUCUGACGGAGCAACGCCGCGUGAGUGAUGAAGGUUUUCGGAUCGUAAAGCUCUGUUGUUAGGGAAGAACAAGUGCGAGAGUAACUGCUCGCACCUUGACGGUACCUAACCAGAAAGCCACGGCUAACUACGUGCCAGCAGCCGCGGUAAUACGUAGGUGGCAAGCGUUGUCCGGAAUUAUUGGGCGUAAAGGGCUCGCAGGCGGUUUCUUAAGUCUGAUGUGAAAGCCCCCGGCUCAACCGGGGAGGGUCAUUGGAAACUGGGAAACUUGAGUGCAGAAGAGGAGAGUGGAAUUCCACGUGUAGCGGUGAAAUGCGUAGAGAUGUGGAGGAACACCAGUGGCGAAGGCGACUCUCUGGUCUGUAACUGACGCUGAGGAGCGAAAGCGUGGGGAGCGAACAGGAUUAGAUACCCUGGUAGUCCACGCCGUAAACGAUGAGUGCUAAGU
rnacentral:rRNA from 1 species